UUAGUAAGCGUAGGUAGUUGCAAACUUGUAAUUAGUUUGAGGAAAGUCCGGACUUCUAAUAAAUCAAAUCAGCAGGAUAAAAUCCUGUGUAGGAAACUAUCAGGCGAGUGCCACAGAAAUAAACCUCUCAACUAAAUUCAAGUUAAUUUAUUUUUGAGAAAGGGUGCAAAGGUGUGGUAAAAGCACACUCACAAUGUACUGUAAAGUAUUUGUUAGGUAAACCCCUGACAGAAGUAAAGUCAAAAAUUAUAUUCUCUAAAAAAUAUAUUGAUUAAAUACUGCAACAAGUUUUGACUUAAUCGUUAACUGAAGAUGAAUAACUACCCUCUUAUUAGUUUGGUAAGUAUCAUUUGAAAAUAUAAGAGAACAAAAACCGGCUUAUGACUUACUAU
rnacentral:RNase_P_RNA from 1 species